GGGCAUUUUAUAUUCGUCUGCUGAGUUGCUUGACUUCUAUGGGCAAUGACGAAACAAUUAUGGAAUCAGUUGUAAUGUUUGCUCUAGAACCUCUGUUGUUUUACUGAUUGCUGUAUUCCACAUUCCAACAUCCAAAAUUAUACUCGGUUGUCAUUCUUUCAGUUCGAUCCAGUACAAAGCGGAAAAGCCUUAUCAUCACGACUUUGUUGUGUUUGGCAGAAAUCUUACGAGACAUUAAUUGACAGCUGCCAGCCAUCAGUUUUGGAGUGAUGGAAGGAUAAUAAUCUUUGCUCUUGAUAAGGAGAUUGAAUUUUCAUUCACGACCGGAAAAUAUGUUGAAAUUUGAAAGCGGAUGUGGCCGACAGCUGACUCACGGGAGCACCGGUGGUUUCCUUUGAUUGAUCAAGAUAUUAGGAUCGUCGCAGGAUUGUGUGGUCGGUAAUAUCCAACCAACUUCAAGGUCUCGCAAGAAAAAGGCCGAGACCCGUUAGACUUUCAUUGGCUUUCGUGAAGGUCCGAGAUUAUUUUUCCACGAUAGCCAUAAAAUUGGGGCGUGUAUCUUUGACGGAAUUAUUAAAAAUCCGUUUACCGUACAGCAGCAGCAGCAGCCGAUCGAAAGAGAAAGUCUUAAUUGUUUCACGAUUUUCUGCACGUAUAUAUACGGCCAAAGAAAAUGUGACGUGGACUUUUAUUGUUGCAUGUCGGGAGCCAACAGGAGAAUGCGAAAAACUCCUCCCGGCUGUCUAGACCAUAUAGAUAAAAAUGCUGAUAGAAUUUGAUUACUUUAUGGACACAGGAUAUUCUUACCACUUGGUUAUCAUUCGCGAAUUUUUGUUUGCACUAUUUUGUUGUUUGCUUUGCGUUGUGCUGUUUUAUUAUUAAUGAAUAAAAUUACUUUUCAGUUGAAAAAGAAAAGUAUUUUAAAGAUAAUCGCUUUCCACUCAAGUGUUUUCGAUCAGUUAAUAAAAAAGGGGAUUCAAAAAUUUAGUUUUGAAAUUUCAGUAUCUUUGUAUUAUAAUUUAACUCUGUUGCCAAUUAAAAUCCAUUUUCAUUUCAAAAACAAACAAAAAAACAAUGUGCAAUUUUAAUUUAAUAAGGGGCCUUGUAAGCUGGGGCCGAGUAGUAAGCGGCAGGUUUGUAUUCGGGGUACUUGGCCACGCCCUCGUACUUGACAUCGGCGACGUAUCCGUAGCUGUCGGCCUUGUAGGUGACAAUUUGGGUGCGGCCGUCGGGUAGGGCGACGCGGUAAGAUCCGGUGGUCACUUUGCCAUCGCUCUUCUCAGAGUGGCCGUAGUUGUUAUAAGAUGGGGCAUCGUUGACUUCCCAGUCGAAACUGUACGGCUGAGGAGCCUGUUUAUUACAAUCAAGUAUUUUUAGCUUUUAUUUUUUUUAAAUCAUAAGCCAAGAAAUUUUUAAAUACUUACGUAAUCGUAGCUCUUGCCGUAAGCCGGAGCUGGGUAAGCUGGGUAAGCCUUGGGUGGGUAGGCAUUGGAGGCAGCAGCCACGGCGAUCAAAGCGGCGAGAAUGAUGACCUAAUAUGCGGAGGAAUAUAAGUUAUUUCUAAAUAUUUAAUAAUUAUUGGAUUAAAUUUGAUCAAGUUACCUGCAUGGUUGUAGUAGGGUUGUUUGGGACGGUUGAGACAGUUGUGGAAGAACUGAUGAUUUUGUCAGUGGCCAGCUAGUCUUUUUAUACCAGUCGGGUGUGUCCUACUGCAUUGGGAUAUUCCCAAUAAAUCCACGAUGUGGAAGAUAAGAAAAAGUUUGAAACGCUUGACCAAUGUGGGGCGUUUUCUAAGGUCACGCCUUUCGAGUUUCAAUCUCUCCGUUUAAACUCUCUGCUGGGCUGCUGAAGUGCUGAUGCUCUUGAAGAGAAAGAGAGCUAUAUAGUGAAAGUGCAAGGCAGUGUCGGGAAUGACGAGAUCCUGUGCGUGUAGUAUGUACAUUGUUUGGUGUUAUGUCAUUUAUGGAGUAUGGCCAGGUACUUAAAAAAACAACCGCCACACACGAACCAGCAGCAGCAUUUUUUUUUUCGGGCGUCAGCUCGAUAAAUUUGGAAGGUAAAAGUUAUGAGAUUCUUUUCUAACAAACGAUGCAAUGUAGAGACAUGCCACCGUUAGCCUACUUGCUCUCCUUUCUAUUUCGUUUUAUUAUUGUUUGAAGUAUGAUCAAUAAAUUAACCGGUAAUAAAUCUUUACAUUAUUAUUCUUUAUAUUAUUAUAAGGUCGGCAAUUCGAUUAGAAAGUUUCAGGAUUGAUAAUCGAAAUUCAAAUCAGCCUAUCGUUCGCAUGGUGACAUUGAAAAUGUGAACACCAGAUGGAGGUUCCUGUGCGUACAGCACUUAUAUUUAGCUGGCAGAGUCGCUGAGAUAUUAUGAUGGAACUCACGUCGGUCUGCCAUGUCCAAUUCAAAACUCAGCAUGUAGUGUUUUACAAAAGUGUAAAUAUAAAUCGCUAUUUGAAACCAGCAUUUGUCAUCAAAGUCUCUUUCCACGUAAAGAUUUCUUUUGUUUCUCAAAAAUCGUCAAUGUGUUAAAAACCGGUGUGUUAUUCCCUCUUACACGUGGCUGAAACAAAAACAAGUCGAGGAAAUGAAAAAAAUAAACACCCCUGGAUUCCCAGAUAAAACUGGUUUAAGCAAUAUGGAUUGUUUCGCCUAACUUGAGCUUCUCUUUCGCUGAUAGCGGUACAGUUUGACUGUCGAAGUUGCCUCUGCUACUGAUGGAGAAGCACCUGACAGUGAAUUCAAACAUCGGUGAUUUGGUGUCAACCACACCCUUAAGCUGAACUAGUGUAGGCUGAAGCUGUUUUGCCUGAGCAGAAAUUCUAAUCUCUAUCCUACACAUGGACCAAGCUAAACACAGUUCCCCAUCAGAAUAAGCUUUCGACACAGGACACACCCAGAGAUGUGUAGCGGAAUUGGGGCCGUGCAACCUUUUCUCCUCCGAUCCCAUCCAUUCUUCCCUUUUAAGCUUAAUUCCUCCGUCCUCGUAUACACAUUCGUGUGAUUGUAAAUUCACGGCGAUAUCGCUUCCUCGUAUACUCCUUCCUGUGAUGCUUUAAUGGAUACAUCCGUACCAAGACUGUCUACGGGGAAUUUGCCGUCAACUGAAGGUCAUGAUCAGAUCUAUGGAAAAUAUUCUAGAGGAAUGACGCCUCAAAAGAAAGAACUGCGGUUGCAAUCUUCAACAAUCUUGCGUAACAAUCUUGCACGAAUUUUGAUGCUGAAAGACUUGGAAACCAUGCUGUCGACCACGUCGAGAAGCUGAGUAACAUUCUGCUUUUACAAUAAACAAUUAAACUGAUUGAAAUAUAUGUGGAUCAUAACAUUUAUAAUGUUUGAUUGCAGGCACCGUUUUAAUAAAAGGAACUCAAGCCAUCACAAUCUAGGGCUUCCAUCAAAUCAUGCAGGCUGCAUGGAAGUCGCAUUUACCGUUGCCGUGAACACCAUGAAGACAUACACUAUUUGAAGGUUCAUGUUUACGUAGCAGUGGUGUUGCUGUCCAAUGUGGUGUGUUGUUGCAGCCUAUGGUGGUGAAAGAUAUCUGCAUCAAGUUGCUGUUCCUUGUGCAUCCAAGGUGCUGGUUUUGUGCUACAGAAGUGACAUCCAAUAUUGUGUUUAAUUGCUAUUUGUGUCUUUGCAGUUUACCUUUA